GUAUCCUACGGGAGGCAGCAGUGAGGAGUAUUGGUCAAUGGGCGCGAGCCUGACCCAGCAACGCCGCGUGAAGGAAGAAGGCUUUCGGGUUGUAAACUUCUUUUCUCAGGGACGAAGCAAGUGACGGUACCUGAGGAAUAAGCCACGGCUAACUACGUGCCAGCAGCCGCGGUAAUACGUAGGUGGCAAGCGUUAUCCGGAUUUACUGGGUGUAAAGGGCGUGUAGGCGGGAAAGCAAGUCAGAUGUGAAAACCAUGGGCUCAACCUGUGGCCUGCAUUUGAAACUGUUUUUCUUGAGUACUGGG
rnacentral:rRNA from 1 species